GUCAGGAGCCUGUAAUUCAGUGGUUGUCGUUUGUUUAUGUGUUACAUAUUUGUUUCUCGUUCAUUUUUUUUUUAUGUAAAUAAGGCCGUUAGUUUUCUCGUUUGAAUUGUUUUACAUUGUCUUAUCGGGGCCUUUCUUAGCUGACUAUGCGGUAUGGGCUUUGAUCGUUGUUGAAGGCCGUAUGGUGACCUAUAGUUGUUAAUGUCUG
rnacentral:lncRNA from 1 species